UACGAAGGGGGCUAGCGCUGUUCGGAAUUACUGGGCGUAAAGCGUGCGCAGGCGGCUGCUCAAGUCAGGGGUGAAAGCCCAGAGCUCAACUCUGGAAUUGCCUUUGAGACUGAGUGGCUUGAGUACGGGAGAGGUGAGUGGAAUUCCCAGUGUAGAGGUGAAAUUCGUAGAUAUUGGGAAGAACACCGGUGGCGAAGGCGGCUCACUGGCCCGUAACUGACGCUCAUGCACGACAGCGUGGGGAUCAAACAGG
rnacentral:rRNA from 1 species